rnacentral:rRNA from 1 species
GACGAACGCUGGCGGCGUGCUUAACACAUGCAAGUCGAACGGAAAGGCCCUGCUUUUGUGGGGUGCUCGAGUGGCGAACGGGUGAGUAACACGUGAGUAACCUGCCCUUGACUUUGGGAUAACUUCAGGAAACUGGGGCUAAUACCGGAUAGGAGCUCCUGCUGCAUGGUGGGGGUUGGAAAGUUUCGGCGGUUGGGGAUGGACUCGCGGCUUAUCAGCUUGUUGGUGGGGUAGUGGCUUACCAAGGCUUUGACGGGUAGCCGGCCUGAGAGGGUGACCGGCCACAUUGGGACUGAGAUACGGCCCAGACUCCUACGGGAGGCAGCAGUGGGGAAUAUUGCACAAUGGGCGGAAGCCUGAUGCAGCAACGCCGCGUGCGGGAUGACGGCCUUCGGGUUGUAAACCGCUUUCGCCUGUGACGAAGCGUGAGUGACGGUAAUGGGUAAAGAAGCACCGGCUAACUACGUGCCAGCAGCCGCGGUGAUACGUAGGGUGCGAGCGUUGUCCGGAUUUAUUGGGCGUAAAGGGCUCGUAGGUGGUUGAUCGCGUCGGAAGUGUAAUCUUGGGGCUUAACCCUGAGCGUGCUUUCGAUACGGGUUGACUUGAGGAAGGUCGGGGAGAAUGGAAUUCCUGGUGGAGCGGUGGAAUGCGCAGAUAUCAGGAGGAACACCAGUGGCGAAGGCGGUUCUCUGGGCCUUUCCUGACGCUGAGGAGCGAAAGCGUGGGGAGCGAACAGGCUUAGAUACCCUGGUAGUCCACGCUGUAAACGGUGGGUACUAGGUGUGGGGUCCAUUCCACGGGUUCCGUGCCGUAGCUAACGCUUUAAGUACCCCGCCUGGGGAGUACGGCCGCAAGGCUAAAACUCAAAGGAAUUGACGGGGCCCCGCACAAGCGGCGGAGCAUGCGGAUUAAUUCGAUGCAACGCGUAGAACCUUACCUGGGUUUGACAUGGAUCGGGAGUGCUCAGAGAUGGGUGUGCCUCUUUUGGGGUCGGUUCACAGGUGGUGCAUGCCUGUCGUCAGCUCGUGUCGUGAGAUGUUGGGUUAAGUCCCGCAACGAGCGCAACCCUUGUUCACUGUUGCCAGCACGUUAUGGUGGGGACUCAGUGGAGACCGCCGGGGUCAACUCGGAGGAAGGUGGGGAUGACGUCAAGUCCUCAUGCCCCUUAUGUCCAGGGCUUCACGCAUGCUACAAUGGCUGGUACAGAGAGUGGCGAGCCUGUGAGGGUGAGCGAAUCUCGGAAAGCCGGUCUCAGUUCGGAUUGGGGUCUGCAACUCGACCUCAUGAAGUCGGAGUCGCUAGUAAUCGCAGAUCAGCAACGCUGCGGUGAAUACGUUCCCGGG